ACGGGAGGCAGCAGUGGGGAAUAUUGCACAAUGGGCGAAAGCCUGAUGCAGCGACGCCGCGUGAGUGAAGAAGUUAUUCGUAACGUAAAGCUCUAUCAGCAGGGAAGAAAAUGACGGUACCUGACUAAGAAGCCCCGGCUAACUACGUGCCAGCAGCCGCGGUAAUACGUAGGGGGCAAGCGUUAUCCGGAUUUACUGGGUGUAAAGGGAGCGCAGGCGGUACGGCAAGUCUGAUGUGAAAGCCCGGGGCUCAACCCCGGUACUGCAUUGGAAACUGUCGAACUAGAGUGUCGGAGGGGUAAGUGGAAUUCCUAGUGUAGCGGUGAAAUGCGUAGAUAUUAGGAGGAACACCAGUGGCGAAGGCGGCUUACUGGACGAUAACUGACGCUGAGGCUCGAAAGCGUGGGGAGCAAACAGGAUUAGAUACCCUGGUA
rnacentral:rRNA from 1 species